rnacentral:lncRNA from 1 species
AGAAAGGAGACCCCGUGAGGACAGAGUAAGGAGGCACCUAUCUGCAAGCCAAGAAAAAAGGCCUCACGACAAAUCUAACCUGCUGACACCUUCAUCUUGAACCCUCAAACUCCAGAACUACCCAUGAAAAGCCCUGGACUCAGCCAGACCAGAAGAGAUGAUGUGAAGACCCGCCUGCAGAGAGGAGCUACCCUCUCUGCUAAGAGCUGGACACUCAUCAGGACACCCUGAUUACAAAGAGGAGCUACCCACUGUGGCUCUCCUCUGAGCUGUUCUAUCCCUCAAUAAAGUUCCUCUUUGUUUUGCUCAUCCUCCA